AAAUGUGUAGUGGAAUGCAAAAAUGGGGCUUCUUGACGUUGACGUCGUUAUCGAGAAAAUGCGAGAUCUUUGACGCCAUUUUUUUCCUCAUUAUUUUUCCGUUCAUCUGGCAGUAAAACAGCGCUUAAGUAUAUAAUAAAUGACUUGUCAGCACAUGGGGUCCUGAUUCAUACAGAGUAAUCAACGGCAAAAAUAAUUUGCUACCGUUCAUCCUAUGACAGCAAGUAAAAUUAUCACGGUAAAAGAUUUUUACGAGGACAACUGAUUACGUCAUCUGACAUUGAUUGUUGAUAAAAUAUUGGUGAAUUGAUUCGAUGUUUUUCGGUGUUUUAAAGAAUAUUUUACACUGACAACGUCUGCUUUGACAAAACUUAUAUAAAACUGGAUUAUUCGGGUUAGGCACUUCACCAUGCACUUAUGAUGUAAAGUACUCCAACCCUUGGGAUUAUGCCAAACAAGUGCAUUUUUCCCCAUCAUUCUCAACUAGUUGGUCCAAUAUGUUUUAGGACACCAAGAAAGUUCCAUGUGUUUGGUGUUUGUGUAGAGGGAUCAGGACUUCAUGGAAGUGUCAGUCUCAACAUGCCUGGUACUUUUAUAUCUGGAAAGUGAAAAACAAUGCAAAAAGUUGCCUAAAUGUACUGUCCUGAAGUCAUCAAGACAUGCAAUGGGCACAAUAUCCUACAGCUUAUAGAUGAUCCAGAAAAUCCCUAGGAAGUCACUUCUUAAGUGAAACCCCUCAAACUGUUAUCAAAAUACCACCAUUUUUGUGCAAGUGCAAUGGAGCCAAGUGUUAUAACAUGUAAAGAAUAUAUUAACUUUGUGGAGGUAAAAAUGUAUUUACUGAAACAAUUGCCUCCCAGAGGUCUUUUACCUGAAGUACAGUAAUGAUGCAGCAAGACAUUAGUAUCUAUUUGAACAAUUGGGCAGUUCUUCAAAUCUGACAUAGCUAAAAUACUGUGUGGCCAAAACCAGUUAUCCCAAAAACAGAAAAAAAGUUGGAUAUUGACAAUUAUUUGAAAAAGGUGGAAAAAGAAAGAGCAGCAUUUUACUCUUGAGUAUAAUUGGAUUUCCUAUAACAUAGUGGUCAUGUAUGGACUGUCAUUAUUUUCUUCAUUUCAAAUAAAGUUUAUGAUACAAGUAGAUGCUUCAUAAGAUAAGACUGCAAGUGUGUUGCAUAACUAGUGCUCUAAGGACUAAUGCUAUAUUAACAAGUAUGUGGAUCAUUGAUGUAUAGAUAUUAAUUAAUGGCUGCCUAUAUUAUUUUUGGAUGUCAGUAUACCAGUUACUAAUUUCCAUCAUUUAUACAAAAUGUUUAUCAGAUUAAGUUUAGUGUAAUACAACAUUUGUCAUUUUACUCUAAGUUAUAGAAUUCUAUUGAACCUAUGCAUGUUAUGAAUUGAUCAACUGUCAACUGAUCUUAAGCUUUGAUCUAGGUUGAAAAUGACUGUAUGAAAAUGUAAAGUAUGUAACAUUAAGCUUCAGUACUUGUUGUCAAAUUUUAAACAUUUUAUAGUUGUAGAAUAUGAAAAAUACUUUAUCUAUAACAAUGGUAGGUCAGUUGAAUUUUUAUGUUGAUAUUAGUGUAGAAUCACAUUGUAUUAAUUAUCACCAAUCCUUAAAAUUGUUAAAAGAAGCAGCAAAAUCAAAGAAUAUUUAAUGGUAGCUAGGCAACCAAUAUCCCCUUCAGUUGGGAAGGAUUUUAAACAGGUGCAUCAUAAUAAAAAUACUUUAUAUGUUUGAUCUCAUUGUAACUCUAUAAUUGAAAAAUAAUCACCACUAAGUCAUAAAAUAUCAAAAUAUAGAGCCUUAAAUGUACCUGAAAAUAAAUGUUGUGAACAUGAUAUUAGAAGUAUCAUUUUUAAUUAAUAUUAUUAAGGAAUGGUGAGGCAGGCUGUUCUCUGAAUACCUUAUUAAGUUCAGUUACACAUUAUUUGUGGGAUUGUUUUCAUUUUUUUGUAAUAGCACAAAUUGCUUUUUUGUAACUAAGUUGUAAUCUCCUGUAUGCCUGUAAAAAUUUGGAAAUUUAGAAAUUUAUAAAAAAAAAAUAUUCAUUGGUUGCUUAGC